rnacentral:rRNA from 1 species
UAACCUGCUAAAUAGUCAGGCCAGCUCCGGCUGGUCACUGGCUUCUUAGAGGGACUAUCGGCUUCAAGCCGAUGGAAGUUUGAGGCAAUAACAGGUCUGUAAUGCCCUUAGAUGUUCUGGGCCGCACGCGCGCUACACUGACAGAGCCAACGAGUUUAUACCUUGUCCGAAAGGUCCGGGUAAUCUUGUGAAACUCUGUCGUGCUGGGGAUAGAGCAUUGCAAUUAUUGCUCUUCAACGAGGAAUUCCUAGUAAGCGCAAGUCAUCAGCUUGCGUUGACUACGUCCCUGCCCUUUGUACACACCGCCCGUCGCU